rnacentral:rRNA from 1 species
AGAGUUUGAUCAUGGCUCAGGACGAACGCUGGCGGCGCGCCUAACACAUGCAAGUCGAACGAGCGAGAGAGAGCUUGCUUUCUCGAGCGAGUGGCGAACGGGUGAGUAACGCGUGAGGAACCUGCCUCAAAGAGGGGGACAACAGUUGGAAACGACUGCUAAUACCGCAUAAGCCCACGGCUCGGCAUCGAGCAGAGGGAAAAGGAGCAAUCCGCUUUGAGAUGGCCUCGCGUCCGAUUAGCUAGUUGGUGAGGUAACGGCCCACCAAGGCGACGAUCGGUAGCCGGACUGAGAGGUUGAACGGCCACAUUGGGACUGAGACACGGCCCAGACUCCUACGGGAGGCAGCAGUGGGGAAUAUUGCACAAUGGGGGAAACCCUGAUGCAGCGACGCCGCGUGGAGGAAGAAGGUCUUCGGAUUGUAAACUCCUGUUGUUGGGGAAGAUAAUGACGGUACCCAACAAGGAAGUGACGGCUAACUACGUGCCAGCAGCCGCGGUAAAACGUAGGUCACAAGCGUUGUCCGGAAUUACUGGGUGUAAAGGGAGCGCAGGCGGGAAGACAAGUUGGAAGUGAAAUCUAUGGGCUCAACCCAUAAACUGCUUUCAAAACUGUUUUUCUUGAGUAGUGCAGAGGUAGGCGGAAUUCCCGGUGUAGCGGUGGAAUGCGUAGAUAUCGGGAGGAACACCAGUGGCGAAGGCGGCCUACUGGGCACCAACUGACGCUGAGGCUCGAAAGUGUGGGUAGCAAACAGGAUUAGAUACCCUGGUAGUCCACACCGUAAACGAUGAUUACUAGGUGUUGGAGGAUUGACCCCUUCAGUGCCGCAGUUAACACAAUAAGUAAUCCACCUGGGGAGUACGACCGCAAGGUUGAAACUCAAAGGAAUUGACGGGGGCCCGCACAAGCAGUGGAGUAUGUGGUUUAAUUCGACGCAACGCGAAGAACCUUACCAAGUCUUGACAUCCCUUGACGAUGCUGGAAACAGUGUUUCUCUUCGGAGCAAGGAGACAGGUGGUGCAUGGUUGUCGUCAGCUCGUGUCGUGAGAUGUUGGGUUAAGUCCCGCAACGAGCGCAACCCUUAUGGUCAGUUACUACGCAAGAGGACUCUGGCCAGACUGCCGUUGACAAAACGGAGGAAGGUGGGGAUGACGUCAAAUCAUCAUGCCCUUUAUGACUUGGGCUACACACGUACUACAAUGGCGUUAAACAAAGAGAAGCAAGACCGCGAGGUGGAGCAAAACUCAGAAACAACGUCCCAGUUCGGACUGCAGGCUGCAACUCGCCUGCACGAAGUUGGAAU